rnacentral:rRNA from 1 species
UGGGGAAUCUUGGACAAUGGGCGAAAGCCUGAUCCAGCCAUGCCGCGUGAGUGACGAAGGUCUUCGGAUUGUAAAGCUCUUUUGGCGGGGACGAUAAUGACGGUACCCGCAGAAUAAGCCCCGGCUAACUUCGUGCCAGCAGCCGCGGUAAUACGAAGGGGGCUAGCGUUGUUCGGAAUUACUGGGCGUAAAGCGCACGUAGGCGGAUUUGUAAGUCAGGGGUGAAAUCCCGGGGCUCAACCUCGGAACUGCCCUUGAUACUGCAAAUCUCGAGUCCGAUAGAGGUGAGUGGAAUUCCUAGUGUAGAGGUGAAAUUCGUAGAUAUUAGGAAGAACACCAGUGGCGAAGGCGGCUCACUGGAUCGGUACUGACGCUGAGGUGCGAAAGCGUGGGGAGCAAACAGGAUUAGAUACCCGUGUAGUCCCUGAGCGGGCUGGCAAGGCGCAU